rnacentral:rRNA from 1 species
UACGUAGGGACCGAGCGUUGUCCGGAUUCAUUGGGCGUAAAGAGCUCGUAGGCGGCUGUUCAAGUCGAACGUGAAAACUCGGAGCUCAACUCCGAGCCUGCGUUCGAUACUGGACGGCUAGAGUCUGGUAGGGGGAUCUGGAAUUCCUGGUGUAGCGGUGGAAUGCGCAGAUAUCAGGAGGAACACCGGUGGCGAAGGCGGCCUUCUGGACAGCAACUGACGCUGGAGACGCGAAAGCGUGGGGAGCAAACAGG